GAUGAACGCUGGCGGCGUGCCUAAUACAUGCAAGUCGAGCGAACAGACGAGGAGCUUGCUCCUCUGACGUUAGCGGCGGACGGGUGAGUAACACGUGGAUAACCUACCUAUAAGACUGGGAUAACUUCGGGAAACCGGAGCUAAUACCGGAUAAUAUAUUGAACCGCAGGGUUCAAUAGUGAAAGACGGUUUUGCUGUCACUUAUAGAUGGAUCCGCGCCGCAUUAGCUAGUUGGUAAGGUAACGGCUUACCAAGGCGACGAUGCGUAGCCGACCUGAGAGGGUGAUCGGCCACACUGGAACUGAGACACGGUCCAGACUCCUACGGGAGGCAGCAGUAGGGAAUCUUCCGCAAUGGGCGAAAGCCUGACGGAGCAACGCCGCGUGAGUUAUGAAGGUCUUCGGAUCGUAAAGCCCUGUUAUUAGGGAAGAACAAAUGUGUAAGUAACUAUGCACGUCUUGACGGUACCUAAUCAGAAAGCCCCGGCUAACUACGUG
rnacentral:rRNA from 1 species